AGAGGACGCUUGUUUGCAGUUCGAAGAGAGUUGUAUUUGCUCGAACGCUGCAGGGACAAGUGACCCCGGGCGGAGUCUCUGCAGGAAAACCUGACAGGAGUACCCAGCUGACCACCCUGAUGCUGCUUUCCAGAGCAGAACUUACUCCUUGAGCAGUGAUGCCACAAUGUCCUGUGUGCACCUACUCUUUCUGAGUACCAGAGCUGUGAACUGCGGAGGGGUCAAAAGGACUGGGGGAGUAUCAGCCAUGACAGCAAAGGAUAAAGAAAUAAAAAUGAAC